AUUGAACGCUGGCGGCAUGCUUUACACAUGCAAGUCGAACGGUAACAGGUUAAGCUGACGAGUGGCGAACGGGUGAGUAAUGCAUCGGAACGUGCCCGAUCGUGGGGGAUAACGCAGCGAAAGCUGCGCUAAUACCGCAUACGAUCUGAGGAUGAAAGCGGGGGACCGUAAGGCCUCGCGCGAUCGGAGCGGCCGAUGUCAGAUUGGGUAGUUGGUGGGGUAAAGGCCUACCAAGACGACGAUCUGUAGCUGGUCUGAGAGGACGACCAGCCGCACUGGGACGGAGACACGGCCCACACUCCUACGGGAGUGAGCAGUGGGGAAUUUUGGACAAUGGUCGCAAGCCUGAUCCAGCAAUGCCGCGUGCAGGAAGAAGGCCUUCGGGUUGUAAACUGCUUUUGUACGGAGCGAAAAGGCUCUCUCUAAUACAGGGGGCUCAUGACGGUACCGUAAGAAUAAGCACCGGCUAACUACGUGCCAGCAGCCGCCGUAA
rnacentral:rRNA from 1 species